GGUGGGAGAAGUGACCAGACAUUCAACCUAUGCCCAGCCUGCCUGGAGCCGGGCAGCCUUCCCCCUGGAAAAAGAACCCUGCACCCGGUGGACCAGAGGAGGCUUUGGAGCUGAGGAAUGCUGGAUCACCCGGAGCCUGUGCAGUGUGUGACACGAAGUGCCCUGGACAGUGUCUUAGCUGGUUGUUGUGAGCAAUAGUCGAGGAAGCAAUCAGCAAGUAUACUGCCCUAGAAGUGCUGCACAUUGUUGGGCUUGGGCAGGAGCUGCAGCGGUGCCACGGGAUGCCAGUGCCCCACAGAGGAGAGGAGGAGAAGACGAACUGCAAGUUUUGGUCUUUAUUUGUCCUUCCCGAGUGCCUCUGGAGGGCUCUGCUGCACCUUUCCUGUGCAGAGCUCUCCUUUUCCUGCACCUUUCCCUGCAUCAGGGCUGUCCUAUUCCUGCACCUUUCCCUGCAUCAGGGCUGUCCUAUUCCUGCACCUUUCCUGUGCAGAGCUCUCCUUUUCCUGCCCCUUUCCCUGCAUCAGGGCUGUCCUAUUCCUGCACCUUUCCUGUGCAGAGCUCUCCUUUUCCUGCCCCUUUCCCUGCAUCAGGGCUGUCCUUUUCCUGCACCUUUCCCUGCAUCAGGGCUGUCCUAUUCCUGCACCUUUCCUGUGCAGAGCUGUCCUUUUCCUGCCCUGCCCUUCUUCUGUUCCAAAUCCCUUGCAUGAAACACCUGGCGUGGUUUAUCAUGACCUUUCUCCACCCUUUGGCUCUCGUUCUCAGCUUUUCUGUCUCACCUGUGCUGAAACCACACCUGUGGGCAGCCCCGUGCCUUGCACAGGGGAUUGGGUUGGCACUAAAUCUGUACCCCAAAAUUCCUAACGUUUGGCCUGUUUCCUAACUACUGAAUGGAAGAGGUGCAGUCCACACCUUGCUGUUAUAGAUAAUGAGAAUGUUGGAGAAAUAUCGUUGAAAAUGGCACAAAGAUCAGAGCAAGGGCACCUCUUUGCAUUCUGUGUGAAUGCCCUCUGCCACCCCUCCCUCCAUGCAUGGCCAGGUCCUAAAUGUCACUUUUGCUGUUUGUUGGUGGCAUGCUCUGUUUCGUUGUGGAAUGCACAAUAUUAAUAUCUUAAUUUUUCUCCACACAGCCACAGCGUGAAGGAAUAUCCCAUAUUAAUCCCCCUAAUUUAAAUUUGAAAUUAAUGACUAUCACAACACUCUGAGCAUCCUUUAAUCCAUUGAUUGCUGCUGGCUGGGUUCCAGCAGUGCCACUAAUUACAUUCUGCCUGGAAAAAAAAAAAAAUUCUCAUUGCUGGUGGCUUUUCUUCUGAGGGCUGCUGGCUGGAAUUCCUGUGCCACCUCUGCAGCCUGAGACACUUUUUGAUGGUCCAAUCACAGACACACUUGAUGCAUUCUACAGCAGCGGAUAACUAUUACUUACAUUUUGGUUUCCUUCUCCUCAGAAGGAAAAAAUCCCAAGAGAGGAUUUUUAGUGAAAGGAUGUCUGUGACACGGGGGCUGGGGAUGGGGCAGCAAUCCCUGUGCCAGCAGUGACCUCUGCUGGGGCUGGGCUGCAUGGGGACACUGGGAGUGCUGUGCUGAUAUGCAGAGGUGCUGUGGGCUCUCAGCAUUUUAAAAUUUUCAUUUAAAAGCCCCAAUGCAUAUGACCAGGUUCCCAGUUAAUGGAGAACUCUGGCUCAGCCCAGCUUCCUACCCAGCUGCAAAGUAAAACCUUGUUAAAAAAAAUAAAUUAAAAGGUUAUAUCAGUACAUUCUGCCUCACUGAGGAGGUAAAUUUAUGUAGUUACAGCUCACCCAGUGCUUUAUAAGAUGCAGAGUGCAGCCUGUGUGUCAGAAAGGUCUUUUAGUAGUUGGUGGGGUGAAUUCCAGUCAUUAAAGAAGAUUUUUCUGUGUCUUCUCACCAAAUACCAUGUUGCUUCAUCUCCCUGUGCUGUAAAAAGCAAAUGAAGGUGAAAUUCUGAAAGGAGAA